rnacentral:rRNA from 1 species
UACGUAGGGUGCAAGCGCUAAUCGGAAUUACUGGGUGUAAAGCGUGCGCAGGCGGUUUUGUAAGUCUGUCGUGAAAUCCCCGGGCUCAACCUGGGAAUUGCGAUGGAGACUGCAAGGCUAGAAUCUGGCAGAGGGGGGUAGAAUUCCACGUGUAGCAGUGAAAUGCGUAGAGAUGUGGAGGAACACCGAUGGCGAAGGCAACCCCCUGGGUCAAGAUUGACGCUCAUGCACGAAAGCGUGGGGAGCAAACAGG